GAAAACCGCGAUGCUUGCUUGAAAACGUGCAAACAAGCGUGUAAAAUUAUGGCUUAAAGGAAUUAAAGCUCUUUUCUGGGACAGAAAUACGCUCGGUUUUAUAGAAUCAUUUACUCGAGGGGGGCAUGUCGUUAGUUUGGUAUGAUUUUUACUGCUGGAUCCAGUCAGACAACUAGUGUUGUUUGUGUUGAGUGUCUGACCAGAACAGCGACUGCAUGUUAGCGAGGUUUGGUAUGGUUGAUGAAUAAUGGUGCUGAAGAUAUGUCAUUCUACAACGACAACAAGAACUUGUACAUGUUUCAG